GAUGAACGCUGGCGGCGUGCCUAAUACAUGCAAGUCGAGCGAACGGACGAGAAGCUUGCUUUUCUGAUGUUAGCGGCGGACGGGUGAGUAACACGUGGAUAACCUACCUAUAAGACUGGGAUAACUUCGGGAAACCGGAGCUAAUACCGGAUAAUAUUUUGAACCGCAUGGUUCAAAAGUGAAAGACGGUCUUGCUGUCACUUAUAGAUGGAUCCGCGCUGCAUUAGCUAGUUGGUAAGGUAACGGCUUACCAAGGCAACGAUGCAUAGCCGACCUGAGAGGGUGAUCGACCACACUGGAACUGAGACACGGUCCAGACUCCUACGGGAGGCAGCAGUAGGGAAUCUUCCGCAAUGGGCGAAAGCCUGACGGAGCAACGCCGUGUGAGUGAUGAAGGUCUUCGGAUCGUAAAACUCUGUUAUUAGGGAAGAACAUAUGUGUAAGUAACUGUGCACAUCUUGACGGUACCUAAUCAGAAAGCCACGGCUAACUACGUG
rnacentral:rRNA from 1 species